GACCUGGUGGUGAAAUGUAUCAUGUCCACUUUCCGUGAAUUUGGUUGAAUCCAGUUGUUGUGGGAGUCCCUGGUUCGAAUCCAGGUCAGGUCA